AAAAAAGCAAACCUUAGGUUUGAGUGUCCAACGUUUGACCGUUCGUCUUAUUUGAAAAAAAUAUGAAAAAAAUUGAAAAGGUAAGUCACGCAUAAAGUAUUAAUCAUGUUUUAUCAUCUAACAACGAUGAAAAUACUAAUCAUAAAAGAAUUUUAUAUAUGACGAACGGUUAAACGUUAGACACGUAAACCUAAGGUUUGCCUUUUU
rfam:Oryza glumipatula chromosome 5, whole genome shotgun sequence.